rnacentral:rRNA from 1 species
AUUGAACGCUGGCGGCAGGCCUAACACAUGCAAGUCGAGCGAGCGGCGGACGGGUGAGUAAUGUCUGGGAAACUGCCUGAUGGAGGGGGAUAACUACUGGAAACGGUAGCUAAUACCGCAUACCAUCAAAUGUGCCCAGAUGGGAUUAGCUAGUGGGUGGGGUAACGGCGCACCUAGUCGACGAUCCCUCGCUGGUCUGAGAGGAUGACCGGCCACACGGGAACUGAGACACGGUCCAGACCCCGACGGGAGGCAGCAGUGGGGAAUAUUGCACAAUGGGCGAAAGCCUGAUGCAGCAAUGCCGCGUGUGUGAAUAAGGCCUGCGGGUUGUAAAGCACUUUCAGCGGGGAGGCGUUACCCGCAGAAGAAGCACCGGCUAACUCCGUGCCAGCAGCCGCGGUAAUUC